rnacentral:rRNA from 1 species
UACGUAGGGUGCGAGCGUUGUCCGGAAUUACUGGGCGUAAAGAGCUCGUAGGUGGUUUGUCGCGUUGUCCGUGAAAACUCACAGCUUAACUGUGGGCGUGCGGGCGAUACGGGCAGACUGGAGUACUGCAGGGGAGACUGGAAUUCCUGGUGUAGCGGUGGAAUGCGCAAGAUAUCAGGAGGAACACCGGUGGCGAAGGCGGGGUCUCUGG